AGUAGCUGCUGAUUGUUUUGCUGCGAGUGAAUCUGAAAGAACGCUCCCUGUUCAUGAUUAUUCCGCUGUAUCUUCGUGAAAUUUCGGUGAAAUCUGAAAGGGACGUUGCUGAUUCUACUUUCCAAAGAAAACUAUCGACUUCUUAUUUCAAUUCACGCAAAGAAAUCUUCUCCUUUCAUAAUCACAAUACUUUUCCCCAAAAUUAAUCACAAUAUUCUUUCCCCAAAUCAAAUCGUCAAAAUGAUCGAACUAUACUGUGGUAUUCUGCCAAAUUUUGUUACCAAAUAAGAAUUUUUAGGUUUCUAAACGAAGAAGAAAUUUCAGGGUGACGGACGAAUAACAUUGUGAUUCUGAAAUUAAUAGCUGAACAAGACUAUGAUUCCAUCUUAGAAAAAAUUAAUCAGCUGAGAUUUGGAUUUCAGCGUCACCUACAAAGUAUUCCAUAUUUCACAAGGCAGAGUACAAAUGGAUGCUUCCAUCCCCAGACCCGUACAAGAUCAAGACUCAUCGAGCAGGCUAAGCGUCAAGAGCUAGAACAUCCAGAAGAUAAGAGAAAAAGAUAGGAAAAUGACUGUAGUGUUUACAAGAGAAUAGAAAACACCUUUGCAUCAGAAAAUGAUAGGCAUCAAUGUUAGAAUACCGCCGUAUCCGCGAUAUAGAGAAGAAGUGCAUUGACUCGAGAACAAAAAGAAAGAAAUCGUGAAGGUUGUCCUUCUGCUUACCUUAAGCGGCAGCAACAAACAGUUGUAGGUGAGAGUAAAGAUACGAAUCGAGAAACAAGCACCACGGAUGCUUCGGCAUCUACCACAUCUACUUAACAACUCGACAGAGGUACUUCUGCUGGAUACUUUUUUUUUGCAGACCUGUCUCUGCUGACAAGGAGCUGUCAAUAUUGUUGUGAUGAUGUCACAAAUGGAAAGUGGAUGUAUAUGAAGGGUACCAAUUAUUCUCAAAGCAAGAUCAGAAGAAGAUGAAACAGAGAGUCAUCAAAUCGAGGUGUUUUUAGAAGAAUAAGGUUUUGCGGCGAAAUUGGCUGAAAAUGCGGCGUUUGGAACUCCGUUGAUAGAGUACCGGAAGCACCUCAGAAAUACCCCGGAGGAACCCCGAAAAAGUGCGGAAAAUGUCCCAGAAAACUCACUAUACGGACCCUCGAUUUUGGAUAAGGGGUGACCCAUUUCCAGGAAGCUGCUAAAGGGACACCGGAGCUGGAUAGGGGGCAUCUCUUCUUCACAUUUCAAAUGAAGUUUUGGCGGGAAAGUGAGUUUGUUAACAGUUUUUGAUAGGAAUUUUUGAAGGAGCUAUAGUGCGAUUAAAGGGAUGAAAAUGUUUGGGCUUACUCUAUGGACUUAUAGGAAGCUAACAGGGGUGAUUUUAAGGGCCAGAAGUGGCUGGAUAAGCCGUGAGAACCGAUUGGAGAUAAAA